GGGGGGGGGUUCUCUUCAGUUUAUCACAUAACUGACUGCUUAUUAAAAAGUUUUAAAUAUUUUUUCACUAUGGUUCUUAUCUACUGUUUUGAUACGAUUUAUAACAUAUGAUUUUUUUUGUCAGGCAAGGAUAAAACUAAGAAAGAUAAAAGUUUUUUUCAGGUGUUUGUGCUUCAUUUAGACUUGAAAAGGGAAUAACGGACGACUAUAUUAAAGAGUUUGUUUUCAUAUAAUGCAUUGAACUUGCGAAUAUAUCUCACCUCACACGUUUUGAUCGGGCCAGUGAAACCUAGUUUAAUACGGUUUUAUUCAUUGAAGUUUGCAUACAUAGUUUUUAUUUAAAAAAAACACAAAUAAAGUAAGAUCUAUUAAUUAAUUGGACUGAAUAGACAAAACUA
rnacentral:lncRNA from 1 species